UCUCUGGAAUGGUUGGGGCUGUAUGUGU
rnacentral:piRNA from 1 species